AUUAGGGCGAGUAAAUCUAAGUAACCAAGAUAUGUAAACCAAGUAUGUUAGUAUAAGCUUAUGUCUAACUGAAACCGCUAAUGGACGAAUACUCACACUCAUGGAUUUUUUCUUGUGUAAACAAUAUUUUAUUACAAAUGGAUGAAAACGGAUCUGGGAACAGACAUCGCCUAUAAUACUCAAUUCCCUUCAAGGCUCGGCAAACGUUAAUGUGACAUUUAAGUCACACGACUGGUGACGCUGCUGGUAGCCCAGGUGUUAUCUUCUAUCCAGUCGCCGUCGGAUUCUUUUCAUUUUGAGGAAUUCAUAAAGCCAAAAUAGUUUAUUGUAAUUGGUAUUGAGAGUCAAAAUGCUCUUAAUCGGCGCUACAGUAAACUAUCAGAAACAUUGGUCUAUCCUUAGCUAAAUACAAUAAAUGAUAUUAGUGUGAUGAUGACGAUGAUGAUUUUAUUAAUCUUUAUAGUUCAAGAGACCAACAAAGCGAAUGCAGAAGAUCUUGAAACAGACCAUCCUUCACUUUCUGGUUCUACGGACAGAACAAUCAAAUCACGUUUUCGCAAGUUUGUGGAUUUUAUUGUUUUUUUACCACAGUUUCUGGACCCAGGACAAUAUGUUUAAAUAUUUUAUACACCUAUAAUCUCCGUCUAUAAUUAAACGGUCUCAAAUAAAUGGCGGCCAAUGUAUAUCAUACAUUUUAUUGUAUUGAAACUUAAAGGAGCUAAGUCGCUAAUAUUUGUGACUUAGAAAUUGACACAAAUUUGUCGCAACGCAUACUAUAAUGUAAUAUGAAUGUAUAUAAAUUGAUUUACAUUCAAACGUUUCUGUUUUACUGUAAUUUUUAAUCAAUUAGGUUCGGCGAAAUACGCCAGUAUUCUCAAUCGAUUUUCAAUCUCUAGCGUCUGGUUAUUCCAGUCUACGCCGAUAUUAUUUAUUGGGCUUGCUCUCCAGAUAAGAAUGUAGGGUCACCGUUUGACAUGACUUGUGGAAUAUGCCUAGCCUCGUUUUUCGAGUCCCUUAUUACAAAUAGCGCUGAAACGCAUUAUGGUACACGAAUAGGUUUAUUUUCUCUUAAAUAUUGGAUAUCAGAAGGCCAUCUUUUCCCGGUAAGAUCACAAAAUCAAUAUUGAUUUAAACCGACAAAUAAAUUCUGUUUUCAAUGUCAAAGAUUUUGGAUGAUAUUGAGUUAGAGACUUAGCUACUUUAAACCUUUAAUUUCUUCGUUAAAGUAUUACAUAAUUUCAUCUAGUUACACCUGUCUAAUAUCUGCAAUGAUUUAUAAUAAACACACAAAAACAAUUUAA